rnacentral:rRNA from 1 species
AAUGGGCGCAAGCCUGACCCAGCCAUGCCGCGUGAAGGAUGAGUGCCCUAUGGGUUGUAAACUUCUUUGUACGGGACGAAUCUCUCGAACGUGUUCGGGACUGACUGUACCGUACGAAUAAGCAUCGGCUAACUCCGUGCCAGCAGCCGCGGUAAUACGGAGGAUGCAAGCGUUAUCCGGAUUCAUUGGGUUUAAAGGGUGCGUAGGCGGAAGAAUAAGUCAGUGGUGAAAGCCUGCGGCUUAACCGUAGAAUUGCCAUUGAUACUGUUUUUCUUGAGUAUAGUUGAAGUGGGCGGAAUGUGUAAUGUAGCGGUGAAAUGCUUAGAUAUUACACAGAACACCAAUUGCGAAGGCAGCUCACUAAGCUGUUACUGACGCUGAGGCACGAAAGCGUGGGGAGCAAA